AGUGAACGCUGGCGGUAGGCCUAACACAUGCAAGUCGAACGGCAGCACAGUAAGAGCUUGCUCUUACGGGUGGCGAGUGGCGGACGGGUGAGGAAUACAUCGGAAUCUACUUUUUCGUGGGGGGUAACGUAGGGAAACUUACGCUAAUACCGCAUACGACAUACGGGUGAAAGCAGGGGAUCUUCGGACCUUGCGCGAUUGAAUGAGCCGAUGUCGGAUUAGCUAGUUGGCGGGGUAAAGGCCCACCAAGGCGACGAUCCGUAGCUGGUCUGAGAGGAUGAUCAGCCACACUGGAACUGAGACACGGUCCAGACUCCUACGGGAGGCAGCAGUGGGGAAUAUUGGACAAUGGGCGCAAGCCUGAUCCAGCCAUACCGCGUGGGUGAAGAAGGCCUUCGGGUUGUAAAGCCCUUUUGUUGGGAAAGAAAAGCAGCAGGUUAAUACCCCGCUGUUCUGACGGUACCCAAAGAAUAAGCACCGGCUAACUUCGUG
rnacentral:rRNA from 1 species